rnacentral:lncRNA from 1 species
CUGAAAUUUUCAGAUGAAUCGGUCAACCUGUUGUUGGGUUGCUGCCCCUGAAUUGGUAAUUUUGAGGAAAUUUUUGCCGUUUUUGGUUAUUAUCUUGAAUAUUAUUAUAGAUAGAGAUAAACUGUAAACAGCAAUAAUGUUCAUCAAAGUAAGAUUUACAAAUAAGUCAACAUGACCGAAAUGGUCAGUUGACCCCUUUAGGAGUUAUUGCGCUUUAUAGUCAAUUUUUAACCAUUUUUCGUAAAUCUUAGUUAUCUUUUACAAAAAUCUUCUCCUCUGAAACUACUGGGCCAAAUUAAUUCAAACUUGGCCACAAUCAUCUUUGAGGUACCUUGUUUGAAAAAUGUGUCCGAUGACCUGGCCAUCCAACCAAGAUGGCCACCACGGCUUAAAAUAGAACAGGGGUAAAAUGUAGUUUUUUGCUUAUAACUCUGAAACCAAAAUCAUUUAGAGGAAAUCUGACAAGGAGUUAAAUUGUUAAUCAAGUCAAUAUAUAUCUGCCCUGAAAUAUUCAAAUCAAUUGGACAACCAGUUGUUGGGUUUGCUGCCCUCCAAUUGGUAAUUUUUAAAGAAAUUUUGCUGUUUUUGGUUAUUAUCUUGAAUACUAUUAUAGAUAGCGAUAAACUGUAAACAGCGAUAAUGUUCAUCAAAGUAAGAUCUACAAAUAAGUCCACAUGACCUAAGUGGUCAAUUGACCCCUUAAGGAGUUAUUGCCCUUUAUAGUCAAUUUUUAACAAUUUUCAUUAAUUUGGUAAAUUUAUGUAAAUUUUUACCAAAUAUUUUUCUCUGUUACUAAUGGGCAAAGUUCAUUAUAGAUAUAAUUGUAAGAAGCAAGAAUGUUCAGUUAAAGUAAGAACUUCAAACACAUCACCAUCACCAAAAUACAAUUUUGUCAUGAAUCCAUUUGUGUCCUUUGUUUAAUAUGCACAUAGACCAAGGUGAGCGACACAGGCUCUUUAGAGCCUCUAGUUUCAAAA